UGCAAGGGUUCUAUAAGAAUGAGACCCCACAUCUGAUCUUGUAAGCUAAGCAGGGUCAGGCCUGGUUAGUACUUGGAUGGGAGACCACCUAGGAAGACCAGGUGCUGUAGGCU
rnacentral:rRNA from 1 species